CAUAACGUAAUUUUAAAAAAUUUACCUAUUCAAGUAAUUUCAUAAAUUUGUAAUAAAAGCUCUUAUUGAUAACCAAACAACUAAAUUUUUUUAGGUAAAAACUCUGUUACCAAAAGCUCUACUUGAAAAGUUAUACCAAACAAAGUCUAAGUAAUCUGAUUAUGUUAUCUAAUAACAGUCAUCACUUGUUUAUGAUCAUCGCAAGCAUUUUGUUGGAUUUCAAUUUUUUUUCUUUUUUUUUUUUAACAUUUUAGUGGUAGGUUUUUGGUUCCUAGAUUAUGCAAAUUACAAUGGGUUAUGGGAUUUGGGUUUUGAUACAUAAAAUGUCCCCGUAUUCACGGUGGCGGAGUCUCGUAGAUGAUAAUAUAGGCUUAAUCUGCAAUUUCUUACGAUAUUGGCAUCAUAUAAUGCUAUGUAAUUUGCCAUUAAAUGAGUUAGGGAGUCAAGUCAAUCAGUCAUGAUCACGACACUGAUGUUGAAAUUAAACCCAAAAAAAAAAAAAAGUGUGUGAUUAAGGAAAUUUGAAUGAUCAAUUGGUUAUACUAUAUCGGCGAUAAUGGAAGACUCAUUACUUCUCAAUUUCUAAAGAGUUACUAUUAUUGGGGCAGCUGUCCCUUGUCAUUAUUAAGAAAUAAGAUGAUCUUAUGUUUGGGUGGGGAGUUGAUGAUCAUGAUAUUACCUGCAACUUGAUAAUUGCAUGCAUAUAUAAUCGAGGAAAAAUAUUAAUAUCAGCAAAGUAGUUUCAACCAGAACAAAAAUAAGAGAAGAAUGAUCCUUUAUUAUAAAAACAAUUCCAAGGUUGAUUAUUAAGUGGGACUACAAGAUUGUGGUAUUUUUCAUUAACUACGCUUUGCAUUUCGUGGUUGAUUAUUAAGUAGGUCAUUGUGGUUGAUAAUU
rnacentral:lncRNA from 1 species